GCUUGCUUCAGCAGUGCAUAUACCAAAAUUAUAAUGAUACAGAGAAGACUAAACAUGGCACCUGUGCAAGGAUGACACUCAAAUUUAUCACGUAUUCCAUGUUUUA
rnacentral:snRNA from 1 species